AAUCCCCAAAUUGAAAGUGUUGAGCCUGGACUCGCCGGUCCUUCCUCCUCCAUCUCGAUCCGCUGCCGCCGACACGCAGCGCUGCCGCCGUCGGUCUCGGGCGGUCAACAGGCAGCAGCGGUCGUAUCCUCCUCCAAUUUCUCCUCUCAUUCGUCGGUCUGGCAGGACACCGCGGCGCCGCCAUCUCUCUCUCUCGGCUGCUACACAGUGGUGCAGCACCGCUACCCUCUCACCGUCGCGGAUCGCUGCUCCGUUCAGCGCCUCCGGCAUGUCCGUUUCCCCUCCCCCCUUUUUUCCGGCGAAACCGCCACUCCACUUGGUCGCCGGAGCGCCGUCGGCUCCAGCUCCUUGUCGUCACCGUAUCGCUGGAGACUCGUGCCGGCAUAACCUUCGCCGUCCGCUGCUGCUCUACGGUGUUCGCGGAGCUGCCCUCGAUGCCCCGACGUCGUUCGGUCAGCGCCGAACAACUCUUCCCUAAGCUAAGGGUGGAGGAAGAAGAGAAAAAGGGACGGGGCUGAUCGGAGAGGAAGGCCACGGUGGGUGCGAUUUGGGCUCGGAAGACAAAGGCCCAAAGUUUAGCAAAUUCAUAGUCCUUUGGCCAUUUCUGAAUAUUUGCAAUAGGAUAGUAUUCCACAUUUUUCUUUCCAUUCACAAAUCACAUAUGAAACGUUUAUAUAGGUUAAUGUAUCUUGUUUUCGAGCACUCUUAGUUCAAAGUAAAAUACCACUGUUUUGCUUUCA